GUGUAACACUGUGCCACCCCGUAGUAUAACCACAGUGACACAUGCCCAUACCAAAACCUCCCCAGUCGAGCAUGUAGCAGAGGAUUUUUUUUGAACACAGAAACAAAGUCAGGUCGCGGGGGCACCAGCCUAAGCAGACAUAUAUUAACUUCAGGCCUACCAUGGGAUGUAACGGAUCUAUGGUCAUGUGUGCCUCAGUGACACUCACAGGAACCUGCAGCCAGCAACAGCAGCACAACUACACGGACCAUGGUCGCGGGGGCAGCAGCCUAAGCAGACAAGUCCAGACCUCCCUCUCCCCAGCUACUUCGUUCAGCUCGUCCUGGUGGCUCUUGUGGCGUUCCCAAGCCAAAUGGGAGAUCUAGUCUCUCCACGGUGUCCUGGGUCUUCCCCGUGGCCUUCUACCGCCCUAAACACCUCCCCAGGAAGACUUCCGGGGGCAACCUGAGCUGAUGACCGAACCACCUCAUCUGACUCCUCUCGAUGUGGAGGAGCAGGGGCUUUAGUCUGAGCUCCUCCUGAAUGACAGAGCUUCUCACCCUCUCUCUAAAGGAGAGCCCUGCCACCCGACUGAGGAAACUCUUUUCGGCCGCUUGUACCCGUGGUCUUGUCCUUUCGGUCAUAACCCAAAGCUCAUGACCAUAGGUAAGGAUGGGAACGUAGAUCGACCGGUAAAUUGAGAGCUUUGCCUUCCGGCUCAGCUGCUUUUUCACCAGACUGCUCGAUACAGGCUCCGCAUCACUGCAGACGCCGACCAGCCUGUCGAUCUCACAAUCCACUCUUCCCUCACUCGUGAACAAGACACAAGGUACUUGAACUCCUCCACUUGGGGCAGGUUCUCAUCCCCAACCCAAAAUUGUCACUGCACCCUUUUCCGGGUGAGAACCACGGACUUAGACUUGGAAGUGCUGAUUUUCAUCCCAAUCGCUUCACACUCAGCUGCGAACGUGCAGUUUUACAUUCAUGAUAACGUCAAACCUACCAUAGGUCAGGUAGAAGUAGUUAACACAUUUAGUCACGAGGUUAAAACGUGAUUUUAAAGUAAAUACAGUUCUUUUUCUCAUGCA